UUACUUCACAUCUAAUUAACACAUCUUUUAAUUUGCUUCCCUCAGCUAGUCUUCAAACAGAUUCAUCUGUAGGUUUAAGAUGUCAUUUGUUAGUACAAGGGGAAGUGCAAAAGGGAUGAACUCUCUUGUGUUGGUACCAUGCUCAAACCACGCAAUUUUUAAUACUGUUAAAACAGGUUUUUAACUGGUAUAUUCCACCUCCAGGGCUCACCUGCCUGGCUGCUCAACAUGCUGCUAAUCUUUUUUAGUCAGGUGUGUGAGCAAAACUCUGUUAAGGUUGACAGGUUGCAUGAAGCAGAUAGCUCAGUGUUACUGUUAGGUAGCAACUAGCAGUAUCUGCCCAAAUGGUUUUGGCACAUCACUUUGUAGCCAGCCUUCAAGAUGCUGAAGGCAGAGCUCUUUGCCAGAUCUUGGUGGCAUUGUUACUUACUCCCUCUGUACCAGUCCCUUUGCUACUUAUCAUGCAGUACAAGUCUCUAAGUCAGUAGGUCAGCAACAUCAUUGAAACAUCAGGUAUUACUCUCUACUAGUGCUAGUCAACAUUCACUUCUGUUGAGUAAUUAACUUGUGAAAGAAGAAGCAGUUCCAAAGAGCACUUUAUGUCAAACUGAGGUCAGCUCUCUCAGUGUACACUGAAACAAGGAAAAUACACAAGCAGUUCUGAACUGAACAUAAGAAGUAAGGCAACCACAGGAUUUGCCAGUUCCAGAUAGCCUGGAGAAAUGUCUUAUCAACCCAAGCAUCAACCAGGACCACAACAAUAAAAAAGCCACAUGACGUGGAAGGCUUAAACUUCAUCCUCUCCAAGAAUUGCUCUACAUUGUCUGCAUGUUGUGGCUCAUUCCACGGAGCUGAAACGUCUGUAGCUCGGCAAUGAGGAAUAAAGGACACUGGAGGAAGAAGCAGAGAGUGCAUUUCAUUCAACAGAUGCACAGUCUUCCUAGCAGAAGGAGGAGAAGGAGUCCAGUGGCAGACAGGCAACUUCCGAGGACCUGCAGCUACUCCCCAGCAGCCACAAGCCUGUUACAGACUAUCUAUAGGAGAGAGGAAUUCAGGUUACUGAUACUCCAUGGAUGAAAAACUGAAACACAACUCAAGGGACUGAAUUUCUUUCGCAUGCGGUAUGUAUGAGGCUAAGGAAGAUGGCACGACUGCUUGCUGUGGAUGUCGAAGCCCAGAGGAAGGAACAAAGAAGAAAAAAGCCAAUGAAAUAAGGAGUACAGAAGGUCAGAAGGAAGAAAACAAGUGGUGGUAGAAACAGUGACCACAAUGAAUCACCACAUUUCCAACUGUGAUAGAGACAGUUUGCAGUCUGUACACACAGCUCCUCACAAACAGCAGCCUCUACUUUUUUGAAAUAUCAAAACAGACCAUUUCACUCAACUGACUUCAUUUCUUCAGCAUCAGGUCCCCACUACUGCUCCCCCACAGGGGCUAACACAGUCCUCUGUGGGAGUGACUGGCUGAGCCAAACCACUCAAACUCACAGCUUGUGGUCCUUAAGUCAUCACUGUACCACAUUCCCAUGAACAUCCACAAUAUCUUCACCAAUAGUUACUGUCAUUCUCCUGUGCAGGUAGCAGUAAGAACCAAGAAACAACUUGAUGAAAGGCAACUGAAACUUUAUUCUUCUCUUGCUUAAAGUGCUUCUGUAAGCCUUGGUCUGUAUGUUAUUCCUGCUUUUCCUGUCUCAGUUGUGAUCUGGAAAUAGAAGAUAGUAGGCUGCCUUCCUUCUCUUGUGCUAUUUUGGGAGCAGCUACUGCCACCAGUUAGUUUCCUUGUAGGAAGGAGUCUAAAGCAUCUAGUUACUUCAGAGAUUGGCUUUUGAGUGGGAAUAUUGGGCUAUAAGAGAAGGAAUUCAAAAUGAUAAACCUGUCUGUGCAUACUUUUGACAUCUUAAUAAACUACCAGCUUGACAGAGGUGAGAAUAGAGCAUUAAUUUAUAGAACAGUAUGCUAAUAGAUGUUGCUGGUAAGUCUUCCAUACUAUGUGAGUCCUUUUAACACCGGUGUCAUGAAGGACAUGCACAUCUUCUUUGGCAAGAAAUCAACUUUAUUCAGCCUUUCACUACGUUACUGAGAAAUACUAUACUGCAGAAGUUUAUUUCCAAAGAGGAAACAGGCUCUUCACUUAAGUAGACACCUUUCAGCGGUACCUUCUGCACCCGACCAAAAUUCCAUGGUGGAUCAUUUGGCAUCACCAGGAAAAAAAGGUUGCAACUUUAGUAGUAAGGCAAACACAGCAGACUGGAUGGCCAAUAAGCAUGAGUGACCCUGUUGUUUUGUGCCAGUUUAUCUCCUAGUGGGCAAGGGCUCCUCCCUGCACAGAUUGCACAGGUGAAAACAUCAGCAGUUGCUAGUACUUUUUUUGAACCUGCAUGCACAGUCACUGCAUAUACAUUAAAGAUCUGCAGAAGAACUGAGGUAUAAGUGUAAUCCAGCUGCUCCCAGUGUAACACUACUGGAAUUUUUCCAUGACUAGGAAUCAUAGGAGAGCUUAUGCCAAACUGAGCUAUUUUUUCCAGUCAGUCUUGUUCUGACAUGGCCACUGUACUGGUUUCUACUAAACUUUUUGCCCUGGAAAAAGAUGAAAGCACAGGAACACAAAUUGGAAUAUAAUCCAAGCUUACUUUUUAUUUUUGUCUACUAAGAGAUGAUGGUAUUUAUUAAAAACAUGUCCUGCCUCAGUACCUUCAAGUGGCUGUUGUUGAAGCAGUAACUUGCUUCCCCAGCUGCUCCAGCCCUUCUUCCACAACAAGGGCAGUUUCUUUUCAGCAAGUUGUUCAGGACAAAGGAAGAAUGAAGAAAGCCUAUGACCACAGCAUUUGUUGAUUUUAGGAUAAUAUAUAUAUAUUUUUUAAUUAAAACAGGCAAAUUUUGAGACUUAUGAGAUGUUGGCCUACCCAAAGAGACCAUUGGACAUUGGUAGAUUUGGAAAAUUUAACUAAUUCAAUUUUGCAACUACAGUUGAUUACAGAAGAUGACAGCUGCAAUUAUCAGUCUUCAAUGAGAUGUUCAUAAGCUGGUUUUGUUAUUCAUUCAUUUCUGUGAGAAAAAAAAGAAAUGCAAAACCCAGGAAACCCUGAUCAUCUAAACUUUUGCAUGGGGGACCCAGACUCUUGUUUCUGCUUUAUGUCAGGCUAAUCAAAGACAUCACAAAAUCUGUGUAACCAGUGGCAUCUCCAAAUGCAGACUUGCCAUUAUAAUUUUGUAUUUUUAGCAAAUUGGCCUUUUCUUAUCUGCCUAAAUCACUUAGCUGGUUUUGGCCCUGUGAGGUAUCGCUCUGACUUAGCAGCAGGAUAGGUGUUUACUUCUCAAGUGUCCAAGUUAAUUUUUAAAACUGGCACCAAGAAUGAAUAGGGAAUGCUUAUAAAAACAAACAAACAAACAAACAUACUUCUAACACAGAAACAUUCUUGGUGUGUGUUUGUUGUUUUUCUUGUUAUCGAUUUUUUACUUCAGUAAAGUGAAUAUUGACAUAUGCAGCUCUGUGUCUAGAAGUAAGUGGUAUCACUUCCCAGGAGGGUUUCUUUUUGUUCUCUUUACAAUGUAUGCAUAACAUACUGGAUAGUAGAUAGCCCCAAAACGACUGCAGUGUGGCUAUUUCUUUGAGACUGCUGGCAUCAUUAAGAGUGUGUUCAGUUGUUUCAAGGAUGUCUGAAAUUUAUGUGGUAAUUAUCAGCUCAUUAGAGAAAUCAGUGUAGAGGAGAGGAGAUCCAGUUAGGUGCACAGUAUUUCAUUGUCAUUUCAUAAGCAUUCAGGUCUUAGAACUCAACUAGAAAAGACAAAAGCAAGAAUUCCUACUUAAAUGCUGUUAUAUCAGAAGCAAAACUGAUCCAUAGAUAUCAAAAUAAGUGAGUUAUUCCAGGAGAGCAAACAGGCAGCUUGUCUUGGAGUUGGACUUCUGUGUUUUGGUUGAAAUGAUGCAAGGAAUGGGAAGAGCCAUCUGCUUUGGAUUCAUGUAAUACUCUUCAGCUCUGUUGUCUGUUAUUAAUUUUGUUCUGUGCUUCAUAAUAAGUAUGUAAGGUUGGCCAAGGUUAAGUUCUAAUUGCAUCAGCAAUUGCUUUAUUCACAGCUCAGAGACACAUGCCUGUAUAAUUGUCAGUAAAUCUCAGCUUGCUGAGUCCUUCUUUCUGAGGGUGGAAACAUUCAUUGACAUCAGCAACAGUGAUUGUGUGCUUUCACUGACAUGUCAAAGAAAAUAGUUGAGUAUUUUAAAACUAGUUUUUAAGCUUAGCCACUAUUAUUUUAAAAUCAAAACCACAUUAAAAAGUGCAGUUAGGCUUCUUGUGGAUGGGGGAGAAGAAAACAAAUCUUCAAGCUUGUUGAAAUACAGUGCUGAUAUCCCUAGAAUUCUUAAAAAUUUGGUGCUGUGGGCUGUGGUAGUGUAAGUCCCUUGAGAGUGCCUUGCCAUUAAACUGCAAUUGUGAAGUGGCUGUUCCUAGAAGUGAGAGUAAUUCUGUCUCUGACCUCUCUAAUUCUGUGACUUUUCUGUUUAUUUAAACUUUAAGGAAAAAAAAAAAAAAAAAAAAAAGUUAAACAUAACAAUGGCUUUUAGAGCCAAA